rnacentral:rRNA from 1 species
AGAGUUUGAUCCUGGCUCAUGACGAACGCUGGCGGCGUGCUUAACACAUGCAAUUCUAGCGAGGCCUUCCCUUCGGGGGAGUGUCCUACCGGCGAACGGGUGAGUAACACGUGGGCAACCUGCCCUCAGCUCUGGGAUAACUCCAAUAAAUUGGGGCUAAUACCGGAUAUGACCGCUGACCGCAUGGUCUGGUGGUGGAAAGAUUUAUCGGCUGGGGAUGGGCCCGCGGCCUAUCAGCUUGUUGGUGGGGUAGUGGCCUACCAAGGCGACGACGGGUAGCCGGCCUGAGAGGGUGACCGGCCACACUGGGACUGAAACUCCGCCCAUACUCCUACUGGAGGCACCAGUGGGGAAUAUUGCGCAAUGGGCGGAACCCUGACCCACCCACACCUCGUGGGGGAUGACGGCCUUCGGGUUGUAAACCUCUUUCCUCAGGGACGAAGCGAAAGUGACGGCACCUGCAGAAUAAGCACCGGCCAACUGCGUGCCAGCAGCCGCGGUAAUACGUAGGGUGCAAGCGUUGUCCGGAAUUAUUGGGCGUAAAGAGCUCGUAGGCGGUUUGUAGCGUCGGCUGUGAAAUCCCGAGGCUCAACCUCGCGUCUGCAGUCGAUACUAGCAAACUACACUGUUGCAGGGCAGACUGGAAUUCCUGGUGUAGCGAUGAAAUGCGCAGAUAUCAAGAGGAACACCGGUGGCUAAGGCGGGUCUCUGGGCACAGCUGACGCUGAGGAGCGAAAGCGUGGAGAGCGAACAGGAUUAGAUACCCUGGUAGUCCACUCCGUAUACGGUAGGUGCUAGGUGGGGAGGGGCUCAUUCCACAAGUUCCGUGCCGCACGCAAUAAGUAUCCCGCCUGGGGAGUACGGCCGCAAGGCUGAAACUUAAAUGAAUUGACGG